CAAAUAGAAUUUGAUAAAUAAAAUGGUUGUCUGUUUCUAUUGUAGGUUGAUGUUGGCUAAGAUAAAGCGAAAGCUGGUUUUACUCGAUCUGUGUGGUUGGCCCAUCUCUUAUUGAGACUGGUUACUCGAUCUGGUGUUGGAGUUAGGGUUGCAGAUUAGGGGUUUGUUUUGUUGUUGGAGUUUCUGAAGUUGUAACAGCCAUCAACUAACAACCACAGGUGAUGCUCAAGCUCUUGAGAGGUUUCGAGCCGAAGUUCAGGAUCUAGAUUACUUGUGCUCAGGAGAAUGGAACUACUAGGUGCUGCUGGACCUUCAACUUUAUCAAGAGACAGAACCACUAGGCGAGGGGAUUGAAGAAGCAUUUGAAGAGGCUUAUGCCCCAAAACGGAUGCUCGAUAAACUUGGAGGCGCAUUUGCUCCCAAACCAUCACCACGAUUCAGAUCCUUACAAAUAUAGGGAAUGUCUUCCCUUUAUUCUUUUACCUGCGAAACAUAUUGAAGUAGGCCCUUACAUACUGUGAGGUUAUUGCUAUUUUGAUGCAAAGACACGUUCUUGUUGAUGGGAAAGUGCGAACAGACAAGACCUAUCCAUCUGUAUUCAUGGAUGUUGUAUUGAUUCCCAAGACAAACGAGAACUUCCAUCUCUUGUAUGACACCAAGGGUCGCUUCCGUCUCCACUCAAUCAAGGAUGAAGAAGUUAAGGCUUUUGGUGGAGAGAAUUAGGUCUUAUGAUACGUAUUGCCUUACACUUACGAUAUGAGAAGGAUUUGUUUGCUUUUAGUGUAUGCGCACAUGGUCUAUCUUCGGAUGAAGCCGAUGAACUAACCUUGAUCAGUUCUGCUAUAAAUAGGAUAUAACCGCAAAAGAUCAUGCUUCCAUUCAGCUCAAUAUUUGACAUAUUGAUGAGUGACAUCUACACUGGAAAACUCUGCACCUUUGCUCUCUCUGGUUUCCUCCGAGCUCAGGUCUAAAGAAGAUCAACAAGGACAAAUUUCAUGCCUUGCUCGAGGAUGAAGCCCUGGUUCAAGCUGAAACUGUCAAUUGGCCAUUUCUGAAGUGUGCAGUACACAAAACGUCCUAAAGGUGCAGAUGGAAGGUCAAAUACCUGAAUGCUUAUCUAGGUUAAGAUUUUCUUUUUAUUUUAUCAUUGUACCCAUCUGGUCUAAUUGUACUGAUUCAAUGAUUAAAAUAAUCAAUAAAAAGUUCUGGAUUUCUGAAG